UACGGAGGGUACGAGCGUUAAUCGGAAUUACUGGGCGUAAAGCGCACGCAGGCGGUUUGUUAAGCUAGAUGUGAAAGCCCCGGGCUCAACCUGGGAUGGUCAUUUAGAACUGGCAGACUAGAGUCUUGGAGAGGGGAGUGGAAUUCCAGGUGUAGCGGUGAAAUGCGUAGAUAUCUGGAGGAACAUCAGUGGCGAAGGCGACUCCCUGGCCAAAGACUGACGCUCAUGUGCGAAAGUGUGGGUAGCGAACAGG
rnacentral:rRNA from 1 species